ACUUACUAUGUACAGGACACUGUGGUAGUAUUAAAUUAGUAGCAGAGAACAACAUAAAUUCCAGCUUUUUGCUCAUGGAGCUUACAGUGUACUAGGAGAAACAGACAUUACAUAAUAACUUGUCACUUUCAAAGAUUACUCUAGCCACUCUGUGAAGAAUAAGUUGGAUAGGCCAAGACUAGAAUUAAGAAACCCAAUUUUCAUGAACAUUUAAAGGUCCAAGUUGUGGACCAGAUGAGGCAGCUAAAACACAGAGAAAUGGAUGGUUGCCAGCUAUAUCUGUGGUGUUUCCCUCUUCCUCCAUUUCCACUUGGUACCGGACAUAUCUUCUAUUGGUUACAGCCCCUACAAUCACUCACACAACAACCACCCACUGCCCAACCGCCACUACCACCAGUGCCGAGAUGAUGCCCACAGCUGUGUUUCCAACAACAGACAUGACUACACCUGACCUCACAACCACAAAACCACUUCAGAUGGGAGCUGCCCUCGCAGCCAUGGCCUCCACAUGCUUUCUGACAAGCUCCCUUCCUGAGGAAGACAUGACAGUGCUGACCCUUGAGCCUUCCACCGAAGGGCCCAUUCUCCCCAAUCAGAAAGUGUCCUCCCCAGGACCUCUCAGAGAAGCACAGAGGCGAUUUCAGGAGACACUGCCUUGCUCACAUCCAAGCUCCAACUCCAACAACAACAACCACUACUCCAACAACUCCCAGCACUACCACUACUCAAAGAACAGGACCCACCACUACUACUCAAAGAAAAGCGACCAUGACUACUACACCUCCAAGAGAAAUAACGAGGCCAGUACUCCAACAAUGACAGAAACUAAUCAGACAGAAACUACUGAUUCAACAACCACCAUCACCAGUACUCCAGUGACAGCCACCACUAUUCCAAAAAUGACCACCACUACUACUCCAGUAACAACUGCCACCACUACUUCAACAAUCACGAGGUCCACCACUGUUCCAACGACAACAAAGGCUUCUACCUCUGCUCUUCUGAUGGCAACUCCCACAGAGGACUUCCAGCCAGUACCUUCAUCUUCUCCAACGCAGGCUGCAGAAACCAAGCCUACCACCCCAUAUGAAACAAAUAAAACUUGUUCACCAUCAUACUCUUGCUCAACAGAUGGAAUGACACUGUGACAGAGUCUCCAGAUCCCCUUUGGCGUAGCUAUCAAGUUGGGCUGGUACAAGGUCCAUGGAUGAGCACCAACAAGGGAGUCUCCAUUGGAAUCCCUGUUGCUGUCUUGGUAGUAUUGCUCAUAUUUGUGGUAUUCUGGAUUAACAAAAGUAAGUCACCUCAGGACUGUGCCCACAGGAGUAUUCUUGAGCCAAACGACCUGUAGCCCUAUAUUCCAUAUGAUUUUGGUUUCACAUAACUUCCUUGGUUCUUACCUUGUUCUUUUUUAUUUUUAUUUAUCUUAAAAUUAUCUUCCCAAUGAAGAGAAACAUGAUACUUAAUUUCUCCAUGGGAGAAAUUAAAUAUGGAGAAUUAAGCAUUGGUUAGGUAGAGUUGGCAUUUGGAUAUCAACAAACCAGUGUAAUAUACAAGAUUUGUUCACUCCUCCUUUUCCCCUUCCUUCAAUAACCAAUUUUUGUUCCUAUAGGGGGUGAAAUUGCUGAGAGUUUUACAAUACCCACUUAACAGAGGAACCAAAUGAGCCAUUGGGAGGAUACGUGAUUUCAGGGCUAAGAAGAGAACAAAGGGUUUCACAAGGCAGCCACCCAGGGCCUCCUGGUGUCCUUCCACCAGUGUGUGUGUGUGUGUGUGUGUGUAAAACCUGUCAUCUAUAGGAGAAACACAACCUCCCAUUUUUUUACAGUGAAAUGUGAUUAUAUUAAAGUAAGCUAGGGCAUGUGGGUGAAUGCAUUAACCCUAAUAAUCAUAAGAUACUUUCCACUAAGGGGUUUAUUUGGCUCCUAGAGAUUCAAGAAAAGUUAUCUGGAGUUAUUAGGGAAGACCCCAGAUUGAUUUGUUUCCCCUUCAUUUUAAAAAUAUUCUUUCCUCUUAAUUAAUUUUUUCAGUGUCUGAUAUCUGUACCUAUUUUUCUCAUAUCAAGGUAAUAACAGUAAUAAUAUACUUAUUGGGGAAAAAAAUCUCAUGAACUCUUUAGCUUAUAUGUUUAAUUUUCUCUUCAUUUCUUAUCCAGUUUAGAAUAUCUUUGCCUGGGUAACAAGAUGGAGCUACUAUGUGUGAUUCCCUUGAAGGAGUCUCAUAUUGGAGCUUUGAAACAUGCAUCUCUGAAGCCUAUACAAGCAGAAGAAAAUGCCUACAUUAUUGAUGACUCUCAUGAAGUCGUGGGCCCAGAUUCUAAGGCAUUAUGUAGAAGACAGUGCCAAGAUAUCACUAUGUCAGAAUCCUUCAAGCAGCAGGACAAAUUUUUGGUCAGUUUCUGAUGACAUUCCACGGAGUCAAGAACAUUGGAUAGAGUGAGUCUAGAUCAUCUGUGCACAAUCAAUCUCUGUCACACCAGUCCUAAUUUUUUAUAUUAAAACUGAGUCAAUCAUUCUGCUCAUUGCAGAAAUCUCUCCAAAACAUGAAAGGUACACUUUAGAAUUGUACAUUCUCUUUAGACCCUAUGAAUCCUGUUAUCCAUCAAGAAUUCUCAUUGGGGAGACAGAAAACACACUUUGACCUUGGUUAAUAAAGCUGUGGAGAGGAGCUGACCACAACUUAAAAUCAGCAAAUUUAAUUUGGUGCUUAAAGGACUUAACAUGAAAGCAUUUCAUGAUUUUUUUUUUAAAUUGACUCCAAAUGUAAUAUUUCUUGGGACAUCAAAGGUUUCAAAUCAUGGGAGUGUACAGGUUUCUAUUUACCCACUGGGAAAAUAGACGUGAAUGUGAUUUUGCCAUUAUAGGUUGAUCUGGUUUCUCAGGGCUCUGGAAAUAGAAGGCGUUAAGUGCUUUCCCUGGGACCAGAAUGGUAUUUUAGCAGUUAGAAGAAGGUAGGGUAAUGAGUAAUCCAUGGAGACACCAGGGUAAGAAAAUCAAUUGCCAUGUGAUUUAUACUGUUUCUGCUGCAUUGGUGCUAUAGUUCUAGGUGUUUAUGUAGACAAUUGGUAGGCUCUGAUGGAAUUUUUAGAAUGAGGUAAGACAGAAAUAAAUACAAGGAAAGAAAAGAAAAGAAAAGAGGGAGGGAGUAACAAAAGAGGCUUUCUGUUUUGGAAAAGCCAGUUUGCAAAUAGAAUAGUCUUCUUUGAUCAUGUUACCAGUUUCCACCAAAAGGCUAAAUCAUCCUCAAUAUUGGAAAGAUAAAGGGUCUUUUCCAUAUAUAAUCAAUUCCUGUGUUAUAUCUUUUUCACAACUCAAUUCAAUUUUUGUUUUUUCCAGAAGAGUUAGUCAAAGACAAAAAGUAAAGCUGGUUUUAGUCACUUUGAAGUAUUUUUGCAUGAACAGCUAAGAAGGCUGGAAAUUAAUUUCACUUUGCGUAAACCCUGAAAUAACUCAUUCUUGAGUUUUUUGUUUUUGUUUUUGGUGGGGGAAAGGGUAGUGGUGUUCAGAGCUGCUCACACCAAAGUGGUCCAUGAGGGCUGGAUGGUUGAUUUUGAAGGCAACAUUUUUUAAACUUCUGCAGAGUUGUAGAAAAUUAAUAGGACCUCUGAAUAAAGGUUAUGUGGGCAAUGAAGAGGUGGUGCUAGUGGUAAAGAACUUAUCUGCCAAUGCAGAAGACAUAAGAGAUGUGGGUUCAAUCCCUGGAUUGGGAACAUACUCUGGAAGAAGGCAUGGCAAUCAACUCCAGUAUUCUUGCCUGGAGAAUCCCAUGGACAGAGGAGCCUGGUGGGCUAGAGUCCAUAGGGUUGCGAAGAGUUAGACAUGACUGAAGUAACUUAACAACAUGUAUGCAUGGGCAAUGAAGAUGGCUAAAGAUUGCAUACUGCUACUGCUGCUGCUGCUGCUAAGUCGCUUCAGUCAUGUCUGACUCCGUGCGACCCCAUAGACGGCAGCCCACCAGGCUCCCCUGUCCCUGGGAUUCUCCAGGCAA